rnacentral:rRNA from 1 species
AGAGUGAACGCUGGCGGUAGGCCUAACACAUGCAAGUCGAACGGCAGCACAGUGGUAGCAAUACCAUGGGUGGCGAGUGGCGGACGGGUGAGGAAUACAUCGGAAUCUACCUUUUCGUGGGGGAUAACGUAGGGAAACUUACGCUAAUACCGCAUACGCCCUUCGGGGGAAAGCCGGGGAUCGCAAGACCUGGCGCGGAUAGAUGAGCCGAUGUCGGAUUAGCUAGUUGGUGAGGUAAUGGCUCACCAAGGCGACGAUCCGUAGCUGGUCUGAGAGGAUGAUCAGCCACACUGGAACUGAGACACGGUCCAGACUCCUACGGGAGGCAGCAGUGGGGAAUAUUGGACAAUGGGCGCAAGCCUGAUCCAGCCAUACCGCGUGGGUGAAGAAGGCCUUCGGUUGUAAGACACUUAAGUUAGGUAGGAAGGUUAGUAACGUUAAUACGUUAGCGAACUUUAGUACGUUACCGACAGAAAUAAGACACCGACGUAACUUCGU